rnacentral:rRNA from 1 species
AUUGAACGCUGGCGGAAUGCUUUACACAUGCAAGUCGAACGGCAGCACGGGGCAACCUGGUGGCGAGUGGCGAACGGGUGAGUAAUACAUCGGAACGUGCCCAAUCGUGGGGGAUAACGUAGCGAAAGUUACGCUAAUACCGCAUACGAUCUACGGAUGAAAGCGGGGGAUCGCAAGACCUCGCGCGAGUGGAGCGGCCGAUGUCAGAUUAGGUAGUUGGUGGGGUAAAGGCUCACCAAGCCAACGAUCUGUAGCUGGUCUGAGAGGACGACCAGCCACACUGGAACUGAGACACGGUCCAGACUCCUACGGGAGGCAGCAGUGGGGAAUUUUGGACAAUGGGCGCAAGCCUGAUCCAGCCAUUCCGCGUGCAGGAUGAAGGCCUUCGGGUUGUAACUAGCUUUUGUACGGAACGAAACGGACGAGCUCUAAUACAGUUGUCUAAUGACGGUACCGUAAGAAUAAAGCACCGGCUAACUACGUGCCAGCAGCCGCGGUAAACAACG